GGCAGAAUAUACUGUCACUGUUAAGCCACAGUGAAUAAAGUGGAAGAUUAUUUAAGCAUGAUGAACAAAUAACGGGCUAUUAAAUCAUUAUAUGACAUUCAUUUGGGAGAUAAUUUCAUCCAAAGCAGCUUAAGUUUUCUCACAGAAAAAAAAUUUGAAACUUGAAACUUUCACAGUCAUUUAUAUAUAAUGCAAACCUAUAUCAGAUAACUGUUGCUCUUGUGUCUCCACAGUGGUUGGCUUUGAUACAUACAGAGACAGUUCUUUUUCUGGACAAGUUGGUUUUUGAAAAAUUAAAAGCUGCAAAAUUAAAAUACUAAUUUUUACAAUUGUCACUGUCUGAAUGUGAAAAAGGUCAUCCAACAUUCACAAUCAUUCUGUUUUUUGAGGCCAGGAAGUCUGCACAGUACAAGACAACAGCGAGAGAAACAGCUUUUCCUGCAAUAUAUACUGCAACAACUUCUUGUACAAUGGAAAACGCAACAGCCCAUCUUAGAGGAAAUUCAUAAAUUUUACUGAAUUCCACACUUAUUCAAGAAGCACCCACCCCAUAGACCACAUUUAAUGCAAGACAUUAUCUAUUGUAUAACAUUAUAUAUAUAUAUAUAUAUAUAUAUAUACCAAAAUCUCAAAUAAGUCUUUGGGACAGUGGUAAACUAGGAGGUCCUUCCAUCAUUACAUUUCACAAAAUGCCUAAAUUGACAUAAAAAUUACUACCUGAACUAUUCCCAGUCAUCACUAACCUCUUACAGUACUAUGCAGAAAUACUUCUAAACACUUAUAGCAUAUAACGCUACCAUGUGAGAAAAUCAUGGUUUCAUGUUUGACUGCAUUCAUUCUGCUUGGUCAAUGUCUGAUGCAUAUUAAUUUUUCACUUCUGCAUUCAUGCAACCUUUGAAUGCAGGAAGGGGUCAGCCACUUUGCCCCGAUAGCAUCAAUAAAGUAUAUUGUGAUCAGCUCGAGUGUGACUAUUUUUCCAAAAUUGAAGUGUGGGAGUUUCAUUUUUAGAGUCUAUUAAAAUGACAUCAAUAAAUAGGAACUGAGGUAUUACUGUAAAAAUAUAUUUGUUUACAUCCUUGCUGCCAAUAAUUAAUGAAUACAUGUCUACAUAAUUUAACAAUGACAUGGUUUGAUAUGGUAUGCUGUAUUGAGCUAGUCAUAGGACAUGACUAAUAAAUAUGCUUUUAUGACUGGGACUAAAAAAAUUGUAACUAGAGCUGAAAUGAUCACUCUACUACUCAGUUAGAAAAUUACUGACUUUAAAUUACCUCAAAGUCAAAAAUAUUUGUUCAUUCAAUAUUUGUUUAUGUUGAUCAAUUGUCACUGAUAAAUCAUUGACAAAAUUAUCAGAAAAUAACUAUUAUAUUAAUAAAUACAGAAAAUGACCAUUGCAGCCCUAUCAAGUGUGAAAGUGAGGUUAAGAAAAAUAAGGCACUGACAGCGCACAUAGUGUACGGGCACAAUUUAAACUUACCGACUUACUAAUUUAACUCCAAUGUAAUGCAAUCAGACAAUUAUACUCUAAAAUACAGCAUGUCCCUCUGUAUCUAUGUAAAAUAGUAUCUACAGCUCAAAUAAACUAAGGACUGCCAUGAGUAAAAAAAAUAUAUACACACUUUGAUAGAUACUGCCCGAAAAAUCCAUGUCUGCCGAUACAUUUCAAAUAUUGUACUUACCAAAUGAUAAUCAGAGUAGCAGUUAACAAGAGAACAGAGAUUGUAGGUACUGUAUCUCAAAGUAUGUGUACAAUGUUUGAACAGGAGAAAAUAUUUUCUUUAGAGCAUUUUUUAUUCUACUGGUGAGCGAGACCACCGACUGAGGGACACAUGGCCAUAUUUAAAGUAUGACUGAAUGACAUUUCAGCUGGUGAGGUCUGAGAUCCUUCAAACUCACAACCAACCCUGAGAAUACUAUAUCUUCAGACUGUACAUUUUUGCCACUCCCUACUGUUUUGCUUCAUUGCACUGCAGUAAACUGCUUCGACUGAUUAAAUACUGUUAAAUAUUGACUAAGUUACCAUCUAACGUUAUUGCCAGAGAGUAUAAAAUUAAUAUCACCCACUAAAUGAUAAGUUAUUUGGUGGCCUCCACUACCAAAACAUGUUGCUUCCCAACCGGCUCACCUUAACCGCUGUGACCCAUCACACAUCCUCCCUCUAACCCCGAUGACCCUUCAUGUCAGGGGAAACACAAGGGCAUCUGAUGAUAAUGGGAACAAACACUGUGGAUUCCUGGCCAGGCCACGGGUGACAUCCCUCUCAAUUAGAGGAGGAAAGGUAUUUGCUUCUCAGAGUUUUAGAUGCAGAACCAGUUCUUACUCAGGAAGUGACUGACAGCGUGGCGUGCUGCUGUUGACUCAGUUCAUCUGCCAGCUUGAGCGUUGUGACACAGGACUGUUUGGGGCUGUGGAUUGGUUGAAGCAAGAUGACUGCAAGACGCAUCACUGAAGAGACAUGAUCCCUGUUUCCAGACUCACCUGUCAAUGUGAAGCAACCUCCUCACCUUCUCAGAAGUCUGUGAAUGAACAUUUACAAAUUGAUCAUAUACUGAUGGGUGGCUAUAGUGUUAUCUGCCAAUUCAGAUUUUUAGGCAGAUAACGUUUAUAUCUGCCAAUAAAUGUGUUUAUGCAAAUCAUGUUAAUAAUGCAGCUCAUGUAGGUUUAAUUUAUUUCAGUGUUCUGAUCAUUCUGUCACCUUUUAUUUUGACUACAUUAAUUCAACCUAAUUGAUUUUAUGUUGUUGAAAUACAAAAAACAUUUAACCUCUAAACCUCGAAUCAAAAUCGAAGCAGCAGUUGCCGACAUAUCCAGACUUUGAGUUUAUGAGUCAAGUUCCAAAGUCAGUGGACCCUACAUUUCCCUUAAUGCAACUUGAUACCAUCUUUUCCUUAAACCUCCCUGCUUCCUAAAUGUUCGUGACGUCAGAGUUAUUUUUUACAACUCACAGAAGACUUCAUACAACUGGCUGAGUAGUCCUUGGUGUGCUCCUUUAAGUCAUCACAUUGUCUCAGAUAAUACUGGAUAUCUUUCCAUCUCUCUAGAACUGGAAUUUCAUGUCAGUGUUGCUGAGCAGGUAGACUACAGCUCUACUCUUACAAAACCCAAAGAAACUGUAAGCCCACAAAAUUGAAUACCAGAUUCAUUCAAUAGCGAUACUACCUUAAUGUAAACGUAAUGUUUCCUAAAAUGUAUUCCAGAUUCUACUGUCCACACAAACAUUUCAACAGUAACCCUAAAUGAUUCCUCGAUUAAUUAUUUAUUGGUGCAAAAAGUACAUCAAUAUUUGAUCGGAGUGAAGGGUUAAACACCGAAACCCUUUAAGAGCAACACUCAGGAGGACUGCCUGAUCUAUAAGGUACAUGAACGAUUGGCAAUUAUUUUGUACCACUGUACCAUUAGUCUUCAUGAGAAGUGAACUGUAAUGAGCAUCAGGUCGUUCUGACUUGAAACGAGCAAAAACAAUGCAUGAAUGCAUUUGAGUUGUCUGACACCUGUGACAUAACUGCACUUCUGUGUUUAACAUUACAUUUAAAGACAAAGAUAAAAACAGACAAAUGAUAAAAUCUCAAGCACUUUAUUAGGUUUGAACAGUAUCUUGUUUAGAAAGGCCAUUCGGCAUUAUAUAAUUAUAUAUAAUUUUAUCAUAUAUAUAUAAUUAUAUAUACAUAUAUUCAAAUGUUGAAUAACAAAACACUAGAAACAAACAUAGGCAAAUUAAAAAAUAGGAUUUGCUUAAGACAAUUAUACCAAAUUAAGAAUGGCCAAAACAAAACAUUUCAAAAUGGUCCCGAUACAGUUCAAUAUACAUCUUUUAAAAAGAAAAAACUUAAGAAGGGGGAAGAAGAAAAUAAAAUAAGCAAGGCAGCAGACAGGAAUGAAAUAUAAAUAACCUUACAUUAUGUACAAAAGGGAGUGGGCUGUGACCACUGGGAAAAAAUGGUCCAAGGACAAAGUGAAAGAGGAAAAGGAAGCGAUAAGUGGACAGCAGUGAGUAAAGAUGGAUAGGAGACAUAAAGGACAUAUAAAAAGGUGGAGAGAAGAAGAGUGAAGUUGGACUCUAGUCUUCCUUUGGUUUAACGCUCCACAAAUGGAGACAUAUUUUAAUCCUCGGGGCGUUCAAAAUGCUCCACUGGGGCAAAUCUCCAGGAAUAAAGGGACGUGAAACAGGAACAACUGAUUUCUCUUGGUGAUAAUGCUUAAAAGAUACAACAGUAUUUGUUGUGAGAAGAAUUUAUGAAUUUUUGUUGAACAUUUGGGUAUCCACAAUUGAUUACUUGUCAUGGAUCCCACAUUUAAGUGAUAUGGAAUGAAAUAAAGCCAUUAAAUCAAGAUGGAAUUUAUUUAACAAGUGGCCUCAAUGUUAGUUUGAUCUGCACAAUCAAGGAAUAUACGUAUACGCGACUAGAGGGAAUGUGAGAGAAAGGAUGACUGACCCAGUCUUGUUUUUGGCCCUAUUGAUUCGUCAUAUAAAGAGGUUUGUCAUCAGUCUGCACGUGAUAGUUGAGGAAAUACAUGCGAGCUGGGAAAAUGCAAAGGACAGCCUUUCGAAUGACAACGGUUCCACCACAUAUUGUAUGUAAAGUUGAGAAAAUUUAGUUUUUUUUUUUUUUAAAACCUACCAGUGAGGCACUUUUUAAAGUUCACUAGAAUAGCAAAAUAGUGGGUCUCAUGGGUUGGCGCAGUGUCAUGUUUUACAGUCAAAUUGCGGUGAGACAAAAGAUCGCAUGAUCCAAACACACACAAUAAACCCAUGUAAUUUAAGCACUGACAGAAUAGCCAAACAAAAAGCAUCCCCCUCCUAUAUUAAUUAAAGAACCAAUAAGUGACUAAAGUAAAUAAAUGAAGAACAUUAUGGCACCUAACUAAUCGUGCGGGCACUUGUGAUACUUUGGAACAAAAGAAGACCUGAAAUGACGAUGAUGAUGCACAAGCAGCCAACAAUUUCAGUGACUGGUCAAUUAAAAUAUCUGCUACUUUCUUCUUCUGUAGGUCCCUACAGGGGCCUUACAGAAGCCUUAACCAGGGGCUUUGAGACCUGAAAGAGCUUCUCAAGAGUUCAAAUCUAGUUCCCAUAUUCCAAUAUCAAGGCCAUAUCAUCAUUCUGACCUUAUCUCUCAUUUGGUUCAGUAUUUUUAAGAACUUUGCUUUUGGUGCAAAUAGUGCACAAGUGUUCAAACAAUCAACAGUGAUGAAAUCACCUUUCUUGAAAAUUCAGCAUGUACUUUUAAUGAUGUCUACUAUCAAUAAAUAAAAUUUGAUUGUGCUCCAUCUUUUAAUAAAAGUAAUUACAUAUGGGAGUGUUAGUGUAAUGUACUAGUUAGUGUGAUGUAAACUAUGUACAAGUAUGGGGCUGUUUUCAGUUAAAAUCUACAUUAAAAAAACUCCUAAAAGAAAUAUAAUUUCUAAUAUCACGGCAUUAAAAUCUUUUUAAAUCCAGGUGAGGCUUGAUAUCUGAAUACUCCUCUGGUGGGAGUUAACACCAUUUGAAUGUGAGUCAGCUGUGGAGAUGAACACAAGCUGAAUUUGUUCAAUUUAUAAAUUGAAACAAUCCUGGCAUCAGUAAUUUCCUGAGCUGGCUGAGUUGAAAUUAGGACUGACCUGAAGCCCUGCGGUUAACUGACAUUAUUCAUAUUUCAUUACAAUCAUAAAGGGCAUGGUCUCAAUUGUGACCUCAUAUAAAAAAAAACAAAAAACAA